rnacentral:rRNA from 1 species
GAUGAACGCUGGCGGCGUGCCUAAUACAUGCAAGUCGAGCGAACAGACGAGGAGCUUGCUCCUCUGACGUUAGCGGCGGACGGGUGAGUAACACGUGGAUAACCUACCUAUAAGACUGGGAUAACUUCGGGAAACCGGAGCUAAUACCGGAUAAUAUAUUGAACCGCAUGGUUCAAUAGUGAAAGACGGUUUUGCUGUCACUUAUAGAUGGAUCCGCGCCGCAUUAGCUAGUUGGUAAGGUAACGGCUUACCAAGGCAACGAUGCGUAGCCGACCUGAGAGGGUGAUCGGCCACACUGGAACUGAGACACGGUCCAGACUCCUACGGGAGGCAGCAGUAGGGAAUCUUCCGCAAUGGGCGAAAGCUUGACGGAGCAACACCGCGUGAGUGAUGAAGGUCUUCGGAUCGUAAAGCUCUGUUGUUAGGAAAGAACAAAUGUGUAAGUAACUAUGCACGUCUUGACGGUACCUAAACAGAAAGCCACGGCUAACUACGUG